CAGCGCCACGAGUGGCAAUCGUUUAUUUGGCCUAAAGCGUCCGUAGCCGGUUUGGCAAAUCUUCUGUGAAAUCGAACAGCUCAACUGUUCGGCGGGCAGGAGACACUACCAGACUUGGAACCGGGAGGGGUACAGAGUAUUCCAGGGGAAGCGGUAAAAUGCUAUAAUCCCUGGAGGACUACCUAUGGCGAAGGCACUGUACCAGAACGGAUUCGACGGUGAGGGACGAAAGCCAGGGGAGCGAUCCGGAUUAGAGACCCGAGUAGUCC
rnacentral:rRNA from 1 species